AUUGAACGCUGGCAUGCCUUACACAUGCAAGUCGAACGGCAGCACGGGAGCAAUCCUGGUGGCGAGUGGCGAACGGGUGAGUAAUAUAUCGGAACGUGCCCAGUCGUGGGAGAUAACGCAGCGAAAGCUGUGCUAAUACCGCAUACGAUCUACGGAUGAAAGCGGGGGACCGCAAGACCUCGCGCGAUUGGAGCGGCCGAUAUCAGAUUAGCUAGUUGGUGGGGUAAAGGCCCACCAAGGCGACGAUCUGUAGCUGGUCUGAGAGGACGACCAGCCACACUGGAACUGAGACACGGUCCAGACUCCUACGGGAGGCAGCAGUGGGGAAUUUUGGACAAUGGGCGCAAGCCUGAUCCAGCAAUGCCGCGUGCAGGAUGAAGGCCUUCGGGUUGUAAACUGCUUUUGUACGGAACGAAACGGCCCUUUCUAAUACAGGGGGCUAAUGACGGUACCGUAAGAAUAAGCACCGGCUAACUACGUGCCAGCCGCCGCAGUAAGAC
rnacentral:rRNA from 1 species